AUUGAACGCUGGCGGCAGGCUUAACACAUGCAAGUCGAGCGGGGUGAUGGUGCUUGCACUAUCACUUAGCGGCGGACGGGUGAGUAAUGCUUAGGAAUCUGCCUAUUAGUGGGGGACAACAUCUCGAAAGGGAUGCUAAUACCGCAUACGUCCUACGGGAGAAAGCAGGGGAUCACUUGUGACCUUGUGCUAAUAGAUGAGCCUAAGUCGGAUUAGCUAGUUGGUGGGGUAAAGGCCUACCAAGGCGUCGAUCUGUAGCGGGUCUGAGAGGAUGAUCCGCCACACUGGGACUGAGACACGGCCCAGACUCCUACGGGAGGCAGCAGUGGGGAAUAUUGGACAAUGGGGGGAACCCUGAUCCAGCCAUGCCGCGUGUGUGAAGAAGGCCUUAUGGUUGUAAAGCACUUUAAGCGAGGAGGAGGCUCUUUUGGUUAAUACCCAAGAUGAGUGGACGUUACUCGCAGAAUAAGCACCGGCUAACUCUGUGCCAGCCGCCGCUGUAA
rnacentral:rRNA from 1 species